GGGGUUGUGGCUCAGUGGUCGAGUGCUUGCCUUACAUGUAUGAGGCACUGGGUUCGAUUCUCAGCACCGCA
rnacentral:tRNA from 1 species